rnacentral:lncRNA from 1 species
AUGCCCAGACCUGUGACCAGUAGCGCGGGAAACUCGAGUGACUUUGAAAAGCCACGACGUAAGGAAUCCCGACGACCGGAGAGACUCGGGGCUCUCAGCUCAGAAAUAUGCGCACAGUCGUGGGCCGCCCCCGCGGUGGCUGGAAGAAUGGAAUGGUCCUCCGGAGUGCAUCUUGGGAAUUGUAGUCUUUUUCCCCCCCGUUCCCGCCUCUUCCUUCCUAUUUCCGGCCUUUUCUUGCCUACGGUCCCUGGGGCUUCGUCCCUUAUAGUCUUCGCCCAACGUGAGUCCUCCACAGGAGGUCUGCUCACCGUGCUGAUGAUAAGCUCCCUGGAGCUGGGAAGUCAUCUCAUCUGUGAAGCAGGAAUCAUAAUAAUAUGUCUCCAGUUCUCUUGAUAUUGUUAGACACCAAUGAAGCCUCUGGGUUAGUCAUGAGUGGGCUAUAUCCCUUCCUUGUACUGUGUGACCAGCUCAUCUGUUUUUCUGCUCAUAUGUUUUUCUCAUGAUAGCCUUUAGUCUGUUCUAAAAAUAUUUACAGGGCUCUUACAUUUUUCAUCUGUUUUCCUUCUAGUUUUAUACUCAAAUGCACUCAAGGUGACUUUAUUUGGCUUUUUGUAAACUUGGUUUUCCCCCCACUGAGGCAGUAUUCUAAGCCAGAUUUUUUUACUGACUCUUUCUCUCUCACUACUGUGGUCUCUUCAGUGGUCAUCAAUGUGUUUGGCUCCAAAGGAAAGAAUUAGGACCAGUAUGCAGCAGUUACAGGGAGAUAGGAUUUCAGCUCAAGCUAAGGAAAGGUUUAUUAAGAUUUAGAACUGUCCUCUCAAGAGUAGAAAAUUCCCCAUCCCUAGACAUUCCAAGUGGAUGACUUUUGAGGGGAUUUCAUCUUAGGCAGAUUGAACCUGAUUACCUUGGAGGUCCCUUCUAUCUCUUUGUUUCUUUGAUCCUUUGACAGGUCAUAAAAGUCUUCAUCAUCCCCAUUUUAUGGACUCACAGAGAUUAUGUUAGUUUCCUAAGUCCAACAGCAUUUAUCAGAAUCCAAACCAAAAUCUUGGUCUCUUAACUCUUUUGAGGCCCUUCCUAACCUUUGCCCCCAGCUCCAGAUGUUGCACUCUUGGAUUUUUCCACCUCAUUGGAAUAAGAGUUGAAGCAUUACACAGGUUAUUUUCUGCAAUAUUUCAUUAAGGUUUCCAAACU